UCGGUCAGAUGUGAAAGCCCAGGGCUCAACCCUGGACGUGCAUUUGAAACAGUAAGACUUGAGUACUGGAGAGGAAAGCGGAAUUCCUGGUGUAGAGGUGAAAUUCGUAGAUAUCAGGAGGAACACCGAUGGCGAAGGCAGCUUUCUGGACAGAAACUGACGCUGAUGCGCGAAGGCGUGGGUAGCGAACAGGAUUAGAUACCCUGGUAGUCCACGCAGUAAACGAUGCACACUAGGUGUAGGGGAUAUUAAAAUUUUCUGUGCCGCAGUUAACGCAUUAAGUGUACCGCCUGGGGAGUACGGUCGCAAGACUAAAACUCAAAGGAAUAGACGGGGACCCGCACAAGUGGUGGAGCAUGUGGUUUAAUUCGAAGAUACGCGAAGAACCUUACCUAGCCUUGACAUAUAUUAGAACACUUUAGAGAUAGAGUGGUGCCUUCGGGAGCUUUUAUACAGGUGCUGCACGGCUGUCGUCACUCGUGUCGUGAGAUGUUGGGUUAAGUCCCGCAACGAGCGCAACCCUCGUCACUAGUUACUAACGGUUCGGCCGAGGACUCUAGUGAGACUGCCUUCGUAAGGAGGAGGAAGGUGAGGACGACGUCAAGUCAUCAUGGCCCUUACGGCUAGGGCAACACACGUGCUACAAUGGCCAGGACAAUGAUAAGCGAUACCGCGAGGUGGAGCAAAUCUAUAAACCUGGUCUCAGCUCGGAUUGUAGUCUGCAACUCGACUACAUGAAGCUGGAAUCACUAGUAAUCGUAGAUCAGCUAUGCUACGGUGAAUACGUUCCCGGGUCUUGUAC
rnacentral:rRNA from 1 species